rnacentral:rRNA from 1 species
UUUAGCUGUCACUUAUAGAUGGGCCCGCGGCGCAUUAGCUAGUUGGUGAGGUAAUGGCUCACCAAGGCGACGAUGCGUAGCCGACCUGAGAGGGUGAUCGGCCACACUGGGACUGAGACACGGCCCAGACUCCUACGGGAGGCAGCAGUAGGGAAUCUUCCGCAAUGGACGAAAGUCUGACGGAGCAACGCCGCGUGAACGAAGAAGGCCUUCGGGUCGUAAAGUUCUGUUGUUAGGGAAGAACAAGUACCAGAGUAACUGCUGGUACCUUGACGGUACCUAACCAGAAAGCCACGGCUAACUA